CCGUGCUAGGCGGGGAGCUAGCGGUGCCCUGUACUCGCAAUCCGCUAUAGCGAGGUUGAACUCCGGCUUGAGGCUUUUGUCUGGCAGGACUGCUUGGGCUAAGCGGUGUUGAAAAUCGGGUCCUGCGCGGCGGAACACUAUGAACCCCGUCAGAUCCGGAAGGAAGCAGCGGUAAAUAGAGGCUUCCGGGUGCCGUGGGAUUACCUGAUUGGAGCUGGCUGACCCGGGCAAGCUGCGAGGCAUGGUCGAGGGCUGGUGCACGG
rnacentral:SRP_RNA from 1 species